UACGGAGGGUGCGAGCGUUGUCCGGAAUCACUGGGCGUAAAGGGCGCGUAGGCGGCGCAGACAGUCAACGGUGAAAGCUUGGGGCUCAACCCCGAGUCGGCCGUCGAUACUUCUGGGCUUGAGCACUGUAGAGGCAGGUGGAAUUCCGGGUGUAGCGGUGGAAUGCGUAGAGAUCGGGAGGAACACCAGUGGCGAAGGCGGCUACCUGGACCAGCACUGACACUGAGGCACGAAAGCGUGGGGAG
rnacentral:rRNA from 1 species